rnacentral:lncRNA from 1 species
ACAUGUGUUGCUGACCAUUGUCCGAAGACACCAUCACCUGCCGGUGGUCAUCUAUCUUUUCUGUCCAGUUUUAUUUAUUGCACCAACGUCCCAGACGACUAUAAUAAUGAAGAUUAUUGAUUCGUGUUCCUUCAAUGAGGCGUUAUACAAAUCAUUCGAUCGUUUAAUACGUCUAAUAUUUUAAAUAGCUUUAGUUACAUUUAUUGUCAAGAAAAUGGCCGAUAUCGUCUGGACAGAUAACUAAUCUCUUCUUCCUCGUAUCAAUGAAGGAAAAUAUAAUAUUUAUUUAAGACCACUUCACGUUAGGU